AACGAACGUUAGCGGUGUGGAUUAGGCAUGCAAGUCGCGCGCGAAAGCCGCAAGGCAAGUAGAGCGGCGAAAGGGUGAGUAACACGUAACCAACGUACCCUUCAGAUCGGAAUAACUGCUGGAAACGGCAGGUAAUGCCGAAUGGUCCGAACAGGGGGCAUCCCCAGUUCGGUAAACGGUGGCGAAAGCUGCUGCUGGAGGAGCGGGGUGCGGCCUAUCAGCUAGUUGGCGGGGUAAUGGCCCACCAAGGCGACGACGGGUACCGGGUCUGAGAGGACGGUCCGGCACACCGGGACUGAGACACUGCCCAGACUCCUACGGGAGGCUGCAGUCGAGAAUCUUCCGCAAUGGGCGAAAGCCUGACGGAGCGACACCGCGUGCAGGAUGAAGG
rnacentral:rRNA from 1 species